GGCUCCCUUCCCUUCCUAAGACUGUUCCUGUGACCGGAAGGUGCUGAAAGAAACACAUUUCGAGUAGUAAAAACAAGUGUCCAGGAAGGAGCUUUCAUCAGCUUAUAACAAACGAGGGACUCAUGUUUCUCCACCUGGAUCUGGAAUGGACUGGAGAGAAACAGCAGGGAGCUGUGAGCAGCUGGCGGCAGGAGCCACCCUGCUCUUAGCAGCACUAGUUGGCUGCUGAGUGGCCCCUAUUUGACUCUUUUGUUGUUGCUCCCUAUAUGACCCUUCCUCCUCUCCCCCAUCUCCUUCCCUUCCCUUCCUUUCCCUUCCCUUCCCUUCCCUUCCCUUCCCUUCCCUUCCCUUCCCCCUCCUUCCCUUCCUUCCUUUUCUUUCUUUUUUCUUUUCAGUUUCUGCUUUUCACACAGGAUCUCACAUAGCCCAGGCUGGCCUUGAAUGUACCACAUAGGGGGGCUGAGUAUUGCACAGCUACCCACAGCAACACUACCUGCUCCAGAGACAAUGAAGCUGAAGAAUGUCUUGCAGAAGGAAAAUGCCUCUCAGCCCUGAAACUAGGAACACUAAAGAGGGUCAAAGCACAAGACAUCCAUCCCUAGCCAGUGUUCCCACCCGUGGAGAAAGUGAGAGUACACUGAGUGGCCUGUCCCAUCCAGAGUUUUUCUAGUCAUUUCCUCUGUGACUUGAAUUUCCUCAAGAGAAUAAACUCAGAUGUGAUUGGAAGAAGGCUCCUUCUGGGAAUACAGAAACACUAAAGAAGACCAUGGGCCAUGGACUGUUUCAGAGAUAGUCACACUGGGGACUAUGACCUCCUGAAAUUUAUAUGGCAGGAGAGUGUGCAAGGUGGAGGAGCCAAGGAGACAGUGCGCAGGGACCAUGCAAUGAUACCUGGUCAAAGCACUAGAAUCCAGCUGAAGGGAGAGUAGUGGAGAGAGGCAGAAGUGAGGAGAAAUAGACCUACAGUGGUCCUGCUAGUGCACAUGUGCUGUUAGCAUUACAGGCUCUUGUCAGCUUUUGUACCAUUGCAGUGACUUGUCUUUCUCAGACAGAGCUCUUACAUAACUCUCCAAAUGCCACUCGAACACUUGAAUACUGCUUUAUUGUCCAUGCGAAGGCAAAAGCUUGCUAGGCAGAACCAACUCUUUUUGUUGCAUGUCUUUUGAGCAUAAUAUUAUGUCUUCAUCAACAGUAGGAUUGCAUCACAGAACAUUCCCCUGAGCAGCCUUGAAGCUACCUAGCACCUCACAUUGUGUACCCUGCCCAGCUCCUUGUGGCCAGCAACUGUGAAUUUCCAGGAGCCACUGGCUGUCUCUCCACUGUUCAUGACCCCUCCUCUCUUCUUCCUGGCUGUGGCAGUUAAUCUUAAUUAUCAACUUGAUGGGUCACAAUAGGAACACCUCCUGAGUUACAAGAACAUUUCUGGAUUGGAUUAAUGGGGAAGGGAAGGCCCAACUCUAACUCUGAGCAACACCAUUAUGUGAGGUGUGGUCAUGGAUUGAGUAGAAAGGAGAAAAGAAACUAAGUUCCACCACUCACUCCUCUCUGCCCCCCACAGAGACACGCCUCCAUGUGUUACACCAUCUGCUUCAAGUUCAGGCCACCAUGCCUUUCUCUCCAUGAUGAACUGUAUCUUCAACCUGCAAGCCUAAGUAAACAUUUCUUAAUUAGGGUGCUUUUCUGGAGUAUUUUGUAACAACAAGAAAAAUCUCUAACUUUGUGGUGUCUGAAAUUUUCCCUUUCGGAGAACUAAAGGCUUUUACCUAGGUAAACAAAUGUUAACUGUGUUGGAGUUCGUCAAAAGACUCUCACUCACAAAGACCAUGGAGACAGCCAUCGCUGCAAACCACAUGAGAGAAUUUUUAUUGAUCUAACAUGUUGGGGACUCCCCUCUCAGCAUGCAGGCCAGAGGAGAGACCCAGAACAAAGAAAGACAUACUUUUUACUCCUUUGUAAGUGGCAGAUUUGGUCAACAGGGCAGCUGACUUAUUCUAAUUGAUGUAGCAAGUAACCUUUUCAGCCAUUGGUUGGUUUGUAUAGUGACUACCUUUGGCCUAGUGACUCAUUUUUCUUGCCCCCAUGGUAGGUUAUUAUGAUUUGGUCAGCAAAGUAAUAGUACAUUUUGAACUUAUGAGUCAGCUAUUAACGUCACAGCUAUUAACAUCACAGCUAUCAACAUGGUUAGGGUGGUUUGUGUGUGUGUGUGUGUGUGUGUGUGUGUGUGUGUGUGUGUUUUUUUUCUCAGAAUUCAGUGUGGGGCAGGGGAAUUGCUAAUCUUGUUAUGGUUAUUUCUCUGAGAACAGCUAAUAUUUUUCUGGCAGCUGUAGACUUAAUUAUUUUGACAGCUAAAACUAUGUUUCUAUGUUUGUUUAGUCAGCCAGCUUCUUUAUCUGGCUCUGCACUUGGCCUGUUAGUACAGUUUGGGAAGUCCUUUUUGAAGGGGGAAGGUACUGGGUUGUCUUGAAUUCAUUUUGGAUAUUAUAACUGAACAUGUUGCUGUAUCCUAAAAUUCCAGCACAUGGGACACUCAGGCAGGGGGAUCCUGAGUUGAUCAACCUUAAGUUGAUCAUGAGUUGUAAGUAAUCUGAGUAGUCAUGAGUUGAUUAAGACCAACUUGAGUUAUGUUGUCAGACCACAUCUCAGAACAUCUCACCCUCAGAUCAUAAAUAAAUAGAGAUAAUAUUUCUGUGUUUACUGACUUCCUCUCUCUGAUAGUCUCCGUGAGAAUGUGAGAAGGCUAGAAACUCAGCCCAACGCAAAAAAGUUUUCUGUGCCUGUGGAAGGUAAACGCACACACACACAAAAAACAAAAACCAAAAAAACCUCCAAAAACCCAAAGCACUGUGUUCUUUUAAGCUUUGGUGGGGUAAGCCAUAUUAAGAGGUUGGAAGUCUUUAAUUCUUGUUAUUUAUAUAUUAGCUCCAGGUAAAAUGCUCUCAAACAGACUCUGAACUCAAAUGCCACUUACUUCAAGGUCCUUAGCUUCUUGCUAGCAUCCCCUAAAAAAUAAUCAAGUGUUUGUUCAAGUUGAUAUGGUCCUUGAUGUUGAACAGGGCCAGUUUACACGGUUAAUUUUAUAUAAAAAUUUUGGUAAAGCCUAGGAAUUCCCUUGUGGCUGAAAUGAUGGCUUUCCUGUCACGUUCCUAUAAUGGUUAUUAUAAUUAGUCUCAAAGUACUAACUUUAGCACAUGCACUAAUGUCCCUGCUUUAGUUGUACCAUAGUAAAUAUGGCUAAGUCUGGGUUUUACCCUUAACAAUGUCUGUGACUUUUGGAAGCAAUUUUCUACUGUUCAAUUUUGUUCAGCUUUCUUCAAGGACCCUAUGAAUCUGGGAUAUAACACUAUAGAGAGAUGGACAGUGAAGCUAGCCAUGGAACUCCGAAAAGGUUUGGUGGCUUGUAAUGAAGUACUUAUGAAACAAAAUUCAGUCAGUGAUAGGGGAUUUCCUAGGAAUCAAAUUAUCCUCAGACACCAGAGUGAUUAAGCUGAGAAUAUACGUUACAUUGGAGAGUCAAGAAUAAGUGGAAAUAACUACAUGCCCUCUUCAUGCAUCCAUCAACAAGUUGAACUUACUAAAAUAAAGUAUUAAAUAAGGAGAGGACUGAAGAGAGAUGGCAUAAAGCUUACAGGUUCCUGGAGAUGAUGCACCACCCAUCAAUUCAGGCUUCUGGAUAUGAUACUGAUGGUAAACUGCCCCCUUGGUGUGGCAACACUUGAAGUGCCAUCUCUGGGACCCUCUAGUAACUUGUCAAAGGUGGACUGAUGGCUUGAAGAAACUUCACCUUAGAAAGGAUGGUGCUUCACUACGUUUUCCAGGAUGGUGAAGCAGGACAAGGUGGUUCCUCGUUUCGUUGUGCAGCUAACAAGUGUGCGCUCUCAUUUGCUUCUGAUUUUCUGCAGUGCUAGAGCAAUGGGCUCAAGUCACCAUUGAACACAUGCAGAAAUCAGUGGAUCCUGCAGGGUCUUAUCUGUUUCUUUGGAGCAGUGGCUUCAAAGGAUAUGAUGGUGGAGGAAGACUGACCAAAGACAGGAAGGGACCAGGCUUCCCUGUUGCCAAUGACAUGGCUUCCUUCCAAAAUGCUCUACCUUUUAAAGAUACUGUUACCUCCCAGUAGCAUCAUGGGCUGAGGACAAAGCCUUCAACACAUGGACCUUUGGUGGAAAUUUGAGAUCUAAAUGGAUUUCAGACACUGGAUAUAUAAGUUCAUUGCAGAAUAUUCCAUCAGAGGACAUAUAAAAUCAAUAGUCAAUCCUCUUUUACUUAAAGAAGAAUUGGGGCAUGAUGAAAAGAAUAUGGAAGUCUUCCAAUAGCUGGGCCCUCAGCUGUGGACCACAGAGGACAGAGCGUUUGAUGGAAAACGGCUGUUUCAGAACGACAUUGUAUUCUACGGCUUUCAUCCAAAGUGAAUGUCUUUAAAGGGAACUUCUAAAAGCAGUGAUUAAAACUUGAAAGAGAUAACAUUAAAGUAUCAAAAUGAUGAAUAUCUGCAUAUUUCAAACUGUAUUCCAAAUUUGAAAGUGUUAAGAGCAAAGAAAUGUUGCACAGAUUUUUAUAUGUUUUACCUUUAAGAGAGAUGCUUUUCAGCUUACCAUCUUAUUGAAGUUAGAGGAAGAUAUGCUGUGAAGAUAUGCUUGAAUAUUUAUUUGAACAGCCUCAGACUAUUCUCAGCUCUCCAUCCACAUGCCUCAAAGAAUUUCUAUACAAACCAAGGAAAGAAAUUAAAAAAAAAAAAAAAAAGAGGAAUCCUGGAAAUAGCAUCCAGAAGGUGCUGGAGAGAUGGCUCAGUAGUUAAGAGCAAUUACCGCUCUUGCAGAAGACAAGGGUUUGGUUGCCAAAACCCACAUCAAGCUGGUCACAACCACCUAUCACUCCAGGUGCACCCAUGAAAUGCACAUAAAUCCACACUGUCACACACACACACACACACACACAGACAUGGAAAUAAAUAAAACCCCCAAAUAAAUAAAGGUAGAACAUUUUGAGAAGCCUAGUGGUUUAUAAACUGGUAGCUCGCGUGGACCCCAGAGGCUGGGCUGCUUU
rnacentral:lncRNA from 1 species